AAAAAUUGAGAAACAAUUAUUAAACACAUAAUAAGCCCACUGAACAUCAGGUUCUUGACAUAGGGAAGGUGCAAACAAAUGCACUGGGUUUAAACGUUUUAUCUGGCACCAACCUUCACCCCAACCUGAUACAGUGGUUCAUGCAUUUAAACUAGCAUUGAUCUUUAUCGAAAAUAUAUGAACACUUCCAUGACUUUAGUUGUAAUAUCUGUUUUCAAAGCCAUAUACCUUCCAAAAUAAAUGUUUCUCUCCCCUCAC
rnacentral:lncRNA from 1 species